CCAUGUGAACGGCACUUGCACAUGGGUUAGUCGAUCCUAAGGGUCGGGGGAACCCCGACAGAUAGCGCGUUUCGCGCGUACUCCGAAAGGGAAUCGGGUUAAAAUUCCUGAACCGGGACGU
rnacentral:ncRNA from 1 species